AUUGAACGCUGGCGGAAUGCUUUACACAUGCAAGUCGAACGGCAGCACGGACUUCGGUCUGGUGGCGAAUGGCGAACGGGUGAGUAAUGUAUCGGAACGUGCCCAGUCGUGGGGGAUAACGUAGUGAAAAUUACGCUAAUACCACAUACGAUCUAUGGAUGAAAGCGGGGGAACGCAAGACCUCGCGCGAUUGGAGCGGCCGAUAUCAGAUUAGGUAGUUGGUGGGGUAAAGGCCCACCAAGCCAACGAUCUGUAGCUGGUCUGAGAGGACGACCAGCCACACUGGAACUGAGACACGGUCCAGACUCCUACGGGAGGCAGCAGUGGGGAAUUUUGGACAAUGGGCGAAAGCCUGAUCCAGCCAUUCCGCGUGCAGGAUGAAGGCCCUCGGGUUGUAAACUGCUUUUGUACAGAACGAAAAGGUUUCUACUAAUACUAGGAGCUCAUGACGGUACUGUAAGAAUAAGCACCGGCUAACUACGUGCCAGCAGCCGCCGUAA
rnacentral:rRNA from 1 species